rnacentral:sRNA from 1 species
ACAUGACCUUCCUUUCGCAGUUGAAUAAGGAACUGCAUCUCAAGCGGAUGAUAUUCUAGAUGAUCUUUCAUCUGUAACCUUUAUAUCAAAGAAGAAAUCUGGUGAUUCCUGUAUGCGUGACAAUGAGAUGGUUUCAAAGCACAAGCUUGAUGCUGGUGCCGUGAAUAGAAAAAGCUUCCCUGUUGGCAUUGCUGCUGGUGACUCUUAAUCCAGAAGUUGGGGAAGGAAAACAAUUUCCAGUUGACUCUAGUGCAACCUAAUAUCCAUUUUGGUCCCAAAGAUUAACACAACAGGGAUGAAGAUCUAAGAAGUGCAUCCAACAAUCAAGGAGUAAUCACAAGAUUCAAGACUAAAAAGAGAGAAAAAGAAAAUGAAAUUCAACAACUAAAAGAGGCUACAAAAGAAAGCUGCU